ensembl:lncRNA
UUUUUUUUUUUUUUUUUUUUUGAGACGGAGUCUCGCUUUGUCUCCCGGGCUGGAGUGCAGUGGACGGAUCUCAGCUCACUGCAAGCUCUGCCUCCCGGAUUCACACCAUUCUCCUGCCUCAGCCUCCCGAGUAGCUGGGACUACAGGCGCCCGCCACCUCGCCUGGUUAGUUUUUUGUAUUUUUUAGUAGAGACGGGGUUUCACCAUGUUCGCCAGGAUGGUCUCGAUCUCCUGACCUCGUGAUCCACCCGUCUCGGCCUCCCAAAGUGCUGGGAUUACAGGCUUGAGCCACCGCGCCCGGCCAUUGUUUUUUUUUUUUUUUUUUUGAGAUAGGGUCUCCCUCUGCCACGCAGGCUGGAGUGCAGUGGCACAAUCUUGGCUCACUGCAACCUCUGCCUCCUGGGCUCAGCCGGUCCUCCCACUUCAGCCUCCUGAGUAGCUGGGAUUACAGGUGCAUGCCACCAUCCCAGGUAAUUUUUGUGUUUUUUGUAGAGAUGGGGUUUCAUCACAUUGCCUAGGCUGGUCUCAAAAUCCUGGACUCAAGUGAUCUGCUGGCCUCAGCCUCCCAAACUGCUAGGACUAUAGGCCUGAACGACCACCCCUGACUGUAAACGUUUUCUUAGCUCAAGGAUUGCUGAAUUUGUAUCCAUUUUCUUCUCCCCUAUCUCAGUUGGGUCUGUGAAAUGAUACUGUUAACUGUUUUCUGUUACUUUCAAUGUUUCUUUCUGGCAAACUGAGGGCAUAGUAAUACUGUAGCAGCUAACAACCAUAUGGGUCCUGAGGGCUUUACUAAUGUUAUUUUUUAAUCUUCCUAAUUGCAGGUGUUUUAUUAUUAGCUUCAUUUUAUAGAUGAGAAAACUGGGCACAGAGAGGCUGAGUUACUUGCUCAAGUUCAUACAGGCGGUCAGUAGUAGAGCUAGGAUUUGAACCCAGCGGUCAGCCUCCAGAGUUCAUGUUAUUUUUAUUUAUUUAUUUUUUUGAGACAAGGUCUUGCUCUGCCACCCAGACUGGAGUACAGUGUAGUGAUUUCAGCUCACUGCAGCCUUGACACCCCCGGGCUUCAGUGAUCCUCCUGCCUCAGUCUCUUGAGUAGCUGGGACUACAGGCACACAUCACGAUGCCUGGCUAAUUUUUGUAUAUUUUGUAGAGACGGAGUUUUCCCGUAUUGACGAGGCUGGUCUCAAACUUCUGGGAUCAAAGGAUGUGCCCAUGUUAGCCUCCAAAAAUGCCGGGAUUAUAGGUGUGAGCUGCCGAGUCCAUGUUCUUAACCACACUGAACCUCCUCCAAAUAUUAUUUAAGAUUUAUGAUUUACGAUGUGCCAGGCUGAGACCCCGGAGCUUAGGCUCUUCUCCACCAUGCUGCACUUACCAGCUGUGCUACCUUGGACAAGUCAUUUUCCUCAGGGCUUAGGUUAUAACAAUAACUGUUUACUAAAUGCCCACUCCGUGAUUGGCACCUGGCCUAAUCCAUCAUCAUCACCAUCCGGGCUAACGUGUCCUGAGCGCUUUCUGUGUGCCAGGCACUGUUCUAAGCAUUUUAACACUGCAAGGUUGAUUUGUUGUCCCUCUUUUUUUUUUUUUCUUUGAGAUGGAGUCUCGCUCUGUUGCCCAGGCUGGAGUGUAGUGACAUAAUCUCAGCUCACUGCAACCUCCACCUCCUGGGUUCAAGCAAUUCUUCUGCCUCAGCCUCCAGAGUAGCUGGGACUACAGGCACACACCACCACACCUA